rnacentral:hammerhead_ribozyme from 1 species
AUCCAGCUGACGAGUCUUGAACAGGACGAAACACACGUUCUGGAU